rnacentral:rRNA from 1 species
UACGUAGGGGGCGAGCGUUGUCCGGAUUCAUUGGGCGUAAAGCGCACGUAGGCGGCUUUGUAAGUUAGAGGUGAAAGCCCGGGGCUCAACUCCGGAAUUGCCUUUAAGACUGCAUCGCUAGAAUUGUGGAGAGGUAAGUGGAAUUCCGAGUGUAGAGGUGAAAUUCGUAGAUAUUCGGAAGAACACCAGUGGCGAAGGCGACUUACUGGACACAUAUUGACGCUGAGGUGCGAAAGCGUGGGGAGCAAACAGGG